UCUCCGUUGGUGAACCAGCGGAGGGGUCAUUACCGAGUUUACAACUCCCAAACCCAAUGUGAACCAUACCAAACUGUUGCCUCGGCGGGGUCACGCCCCGGGUGCGUCGCAGCCCCGGAACCAGGCGCCCGCCGGAGGGACCAACCAAACUCUUUCUGUAGUCCCCUCGCGGACGUUAUUUUUACAGCUCUGAGCAAAAAUUCAAAAUGAAUCAAAACUUUCAACAACGGAUCUCUUGGUUCUG
rnacentral:misc_RNA from 1 species